rnacentral:rRNA from 1 species
UGGGGAAUAUUGGACAAUGGGCGAAAGCCUGAUCCAGCCAUGCCGCGUGUGUGAAGAAGGUCUUCGGAUUGUAAAGCACUUUAAGUUGGGAGGAAGGGCAGUAAGCGAAUACCUUGCUGUUUUGACGUUACCGACAGAAUAAGCACCGGCUAACUCUGUGCCAGCAGCCGCGGUAAUACAGAGGGUGCAAGCGUUAAUCGGAAUUACUGGGCGUAAAGCGCGCGUAGGUGGUUCGUUGAGUUGAAUGUGAAAGCCCCGGGCUCAACCUGGGAACUGCAUCCAAAACUGGCGAGCUAGAGUAGGGCAGAGGGUGGUGGAAGUUCCUGUGUAGCGGUGAAAUGCGUAGAUAUAGGAAGGAACACCAGUGGCGAAGGCGACCACCUGGGCUCAUACUGACACUGAGGUGCGAAAGCGUGGGGAGCAAACAGG